UACAAAGGAGACUAGUGUUAAUCAUCUUUAUUAGGUUUAAAGGGUACCUAGACAGCAUUAUGAGCCUUACUUUAAGGGACUAUUUUGCUAGAGUUUUAUAUACAGGAGGAUAUUUGUAGUAUUGAAGGUGUAGAGAUAAAAUUUGUUGAUAUUCGGAAGAACACCAGUGGCGAAGGCGGCUCACUGGACUGGUAUUGACGCUGAGGUGCGAAAGCGUGGGGAGCAAACAGG
rnacentral:rRNA from 1 species